rnacentral:rRNA from 1 species
AGAGUUUGAUCCUGGCUCAGGAUGAACGCUAGCGGCAGGCUUAACACAUGCAAGUCGAGGGGUAACAGGAGUGCUUGCACUCGCUGACGACCGGCGCACGGGUGCGUAACGCGUAUAGAACCUACCUUUUACUGAGGGAUAGCCUUUAGAAAUGAAGAUUAAUACCUCAUGGUAUUGCAAUUUGGCAUCAGAUUGUAAUUAAAGAUUUAUUGGUAAAAGAUGGCUAUGCGUCUUAUUAGCUAGAUGGUAAGGUAACGGCUUACCAUGGCAACGAUAAGUAGGGGCCCUGAGAGGGGGAUCCCCCACACUGGUACUGAGACACGGACCAGACUCCUACGGGAGGCAGCAGUGAGGAAUAUUGGACAAUGGAGGCAACUCUGAUCCAGCCAUGCCGCGUGCAGGAAGACUGCCCUAUGGGUUGUAAACUGCUUUUAUACAGGAAGAAACUUACACACGUGUGUGUAACUGACGGUACUGUAAGAAUAAGGAUCGGCUAACUCCGUGCCAGCAGCCGCGGUAAUACGGAGGAUCCAAGCGUUAUCCGGAUUCAUUGGGUUUAAAGGGUCCGUAGGCGGGUCUUUAAGUCAGUGGUGAAAGCCGACAGCUCAACUGUCGAACUGCCAUUGAUACUGGAGACCUUGAGUACAAAUGAAGUAGGCGGAAUGAGUCAUGUAGCGGUGAAAUGCAUAGAUAUGACUCAGAACACCGAUUGCGAAGGCAGCUUACUAACAUGUAACUGACGCUGAGGGACGAAAGCGUGGGGAGCGAACAGGAUUAGAUACCCUGGUAGUCCACGCCGUAAACGAUCAUCACUCGCUGUUGGCGAUAUACUGUCAGCGGCCAAGCGAAAGUAUUAAGUGAUGCACCUGGGGAGUACGCCGGCAACGGUGAAACUCAAAGGAAUUGACGGGGGCCCGCACAAGCGGUGGAGCAUGUGGUUUAAUUCGAU